UACGGGAGGCAGCAGUGGGGAAUAUUGCACAAUGGGCGAAAGCCUGAUGCAGCUAUGCCGCGUGUAUGAAGAAGGCCUUAGGGUUGUAAAGUACUUUCAUCGGGGAGGAAAAAACAAAACUAAUAAUUUUAUUUCUUGACGUUACCCGAAAAAGAAGCACCGGCUAACUCCGUGCCAGCAGCCGCGGUAAUACGGAGGGUGCUAGCGUUAAUCAGAAUUACUGGGCGUAAAGAGCACGUAGGUGGUUUUUUUAAGUCAGAUGUGAAAUCCCUGGGCUUAACCUAGGAACUGCAUUUUGAAACUGAAAUACUAGAGUAUCGUAGAGGGAGGUAGAAUUCUAGGUGUAGCGGUGAAAUGCGUAGAUAUCUGGAGGAAUACCUGUGGCGAAAGCGGCCUCCUAAACGAAUACUGACACUAAAGGGUGCGAAAGCGUGGGGAGCAAACAGGGAUUAGAUACC
rnacentral:rRNA from 1 species